CGCGGCUCUCGGCGGUCACGUGGGCGCCGCGCGCUCGGCCAGGCCCCGUUUCGUCCCGCCGGUGGAAGAGAGGGUGGGACCCUGGUUCAGCACUUUGGGCUCAGAAGGCUUCUAGAAGAGGACAUCUACUCAAAAACUCAUUCUCACCUAGAAGACAACCUGGGAAAUAUUUGUUCCUUUUCAGGUAUGGUGUGAGGAAGUUCCAAAUCCCAGACUCCCCUCCAAUGUCUCCUGACCCAGAAGAGGGAUACUCAGGACAGUUAACCUGGACUAGACUCCCACAGGGAUUUAAAAACUCACCCCCAUUGUUUGACAAGGCCCUCAGCCGGGACCUCCAGUUCUAGCAGGAAAACCACCCUUCUGUUACCUUACUCCAGCAUGUGGAUGACCUACUCUUAGCUGCUGCUUCCAAGGAGGAAUCCAUAAAGGGCACCGAAGAUCUCUUGCAGGAGUUGGAAUGCCUUGGAUACCGUGUCUCUGCCAAAAAGGCCCAGAUCUGCACCCAGAUGGCCACAUACCUGGGGUAUGAACUAAGAGAAGGUAAGAGGUUCCUGUUGGCCAGUUGCAUCGAGGCCACCUGAAGG
rnacentral:lncRNA from 1 species